rnacentral:rRNA from 2 species
GGGUGAGUAACACGUGGGUAACCUGCCUCAAAGUGGGGGAUAGCCUUCCGAAAGGAAGAUUAAUACCGCAUAACAUAAGAGAAUCGCAUGAUUUUCUUAUCAAAGAUUUAUUGCUUUGAGAUGGACCCGCGGCGCAUUAGCUAGUUGGUAAGGUAACGGCUUACCAAGGCAACGAUGCGUAGCCGACCUGAGAGGGUGAUCGGCCACAUUGGAACUGAGACACGGUCCAGACUCCUACGGGAGGCAGCAGUGGGGAAUAUUGCGCAAUGGGGGAAACCCUGACGCAGCAACGCCGCGUGGGUGAUGAAGGUCUUCGGA